GACGUAGGAUGCGAGCGUUGUCCGGAUUUAUUGGGCGUAAGAGUUCGUAGGCGGUUCGUUAAGUUCGAUGUUAAAGACCGGGGCCCAACCCCGGGACUGCAUUGAAUACUGGCGGACUGGAGUGCAGUAGAGGCGAGUGGAAUUCCCAGUGUAGCGGUGAAAUUCGCAGAUAUCGGGAAGAACACCCGUGGCGAAGGCGGCUCUCUGGGACGGUACUGACGCUGAGACGCGAAAGCGUGGGGAGCGAACAGG
rnacentral:rRNA from 1 species